AGACCCAUCUGCACGGCGGCAAGCGGCUCGCUCAGUUGCCGUUCGCCGCUGUAGCGCUCGUC
rnacentral:sRNA from 1 species